UUCUCCUCUUUGCUAUAAAUAUAUAUUCUCUUUGUCUUCUUCUUCCCGUUCGGUUCACUUAGAUCAAAAAAUCAAGUUUCUUGCAAUUUUUUUUUGCUCUAUUACUUGCCUCUUUACUUGAUUACAGAAUUUUCCAGGUAUUUUAAUGGCCCAGGAUACUCUUUCCAAUGCCGAUUCACCGCGAAGAAGGUCUGGUCUAUUAAGAGAUCAAGUUCAACUGGUAAAAAGAAGUACUUCUGCUCGUUAUGAGAUAGCCCCAAUUCAAGAUCAGCUAUCAUUUGAGAAGGGUUUCUUUAUAGUACUCCGUGCAUGCCAGUUGUUGGUUCAGAAGAAUGAAGGAAUUGUUCUGGUGGGUGUCGCUGGUCCUUCAGGGGCCGGGAAGUCCGUGUUCACAGAGAAGAUCCUGAAUGUUAUGCCUAGUAUUGCUAUCAUAAACAUGGACAACUACAAUGAGCCCAGUCGUAUCGUUGAUGGAAAUUUCGACGAUCCGCGAUUGACGGACUAUGAGACUCUGCUCGAGAAUAUACAUGGGCUGAAAGCGGGGAAGCCUGUUCAAGUUCCUAUAUAUGAUUUUAAAUCUAGCUCUCGUGUGGGUUAUAGGACCCUUGAAGCUCCAAGCUCUCGAAUUGUUAUAAUUGAAGGGAUAUAUGCUUUGAGUGAAAAGUUGAGGCCAUUGCUAGAUCUCCGUGUAUCUGUCACUGGUGGAGUGCACUUUGACUUAGUGAAACGGGUUCUUAGGGACAUCCACCGUGCUGGACAAGAGCCCGAGGAGAUAAUCCAACAAAUCUCAGAAACGGUGUAUCCUAUGUACAAAGCCUUUAUUGAGCCCGAUCUGAAGACGGCUCAAAUCAAAAUUAUUAAUAAGUUUAACCCAUUCGCUGGAUUUCAGAACCCCACAUAUGUACUAAAGUCAGCAAAAGCUGUGGAUGUAGACCAGAUCAAGGCUGUGUUUCCAGACGAAUACAAGGAAAUUACAGAGGAAACUUAUGAUAUUUAUCUCCUACCUCCCAGUGAAGAUCCCGAAGCUUGCCAAUCAUAUUUGAGGAUGAGGAACAAGGAUGGAAAAUACACUCUUAUGUUUGAGGAAUGGGUUACAGAUAGUCCCUUUAUAAUAUCACCAAGAAUCACCUUUGAGGUCAGUGUACGGCUUCUUG
rnacentral:misc_RNA from 1 species